GAUGAACGCUGGCGGCGUGCUUAACACAUGCAAGUCGAACGAAGCACUUUAUUUGAUUUCCUUCGGGACUGAUUAUUUUGUGACUGAGUGGCGGACGGGUGAGUAACGCGUGGGUAACCUGCCUUGUACAGGGGGAUAACAGUUGGAAACGGCUGCUAAUACCGCAUAAGCGCACAGCAUCGCAUGAUGCAGUGUGAAAAACUCCGGUGGUAUAAGAUGGACCCGCGUUGGAUUAGCUAGUUGGUGAGGUAACGGCCCACCAAGGCGACGAUCCAUAGCCGACCUGAUAGGGUGACCGGCCACAUUGGGACUGAGACACGGCCCAAACUCCUACGGGAGGCAGCAGUGGGGAUUAUUGCACAAUGGGCGAAAGCCUGAUGCAGCGACGCCGCGUGAGCGAAGAAGUAUUUCGGUAUGUAAAGCUCUAUCAGCAGGGAAGAUAAUGACGUUACCUGACUAAGAAGCACCGGCUAAAUACGUG
rnacentral:rRNA from 1 species